rnacentral:rRNA from 1 species
CCUACGGGUGGCAGCAGUGGGGAAUAUUGCGCAAUGGGCGAAAGCCUGAUGCAGCGACGCCGCGUGAGUGAUGAAGGCCUUCGGAUUGUAAACCUCUGUCAGCAGGGAAGAACGGUCACUGUGCUAAUCAGCAGUGAAUUGACGGUACCUGCACAGGAAGUACCGGCUAACUCCGUGCCAGCAGCCGCGGUAAUACGGAGGGUGCGAGCGUUAAUCGGAAUUACUGGGCGUAAAGCGCGCGGAGGCGGUAUUGCAAGUCAAGGGUGAAAUCCCCGCGCUUAACGUGGGAACUGCCUUUGAGACUGGGUAACUAGAGUGUUUGAGAGGAUAGUGGAAUUCCAGGUGUAGGAGUGAAAUCCGUAGAGAUCUGGAGGAACAUCGGUGGCGAAGGCGACUAUCUGGCAAAUAACUGACGCUGAGGAGCGAAAGCGUGGGUAGCAAACAGGAUUAGAUACCCCUGUAGUC